UACGGGGGGGGCAAGCGUUGUUCGGAAUUACUGGGCGUAAAGGGCUCGUAGGUGGUCAACUAAGUCGGACGUGAAAUCCCUCGGCUUAACCGGGGAACUGCGUCCGAUACUGGAUGGCUUGAGUGCAGGAGAGGAACGCGGAAUUCCAGGUGUAGCGGUGAAAUGCGUAGAUAUCUGGAGGAACACCGGUGGCUAAGGCGGCGUUCUGGACUGCAACUGACACUGAGGAACGAAAGCCAGGGGAGCAAACGGG
rnacentral:rRNA from 1 species